CUAAAUGUAAUUUAUAUAAAAUUUAGAAUUGUGGUUUCUAAUAAAUCAAUUAAUUUGAUCAUUUAGA
rnacentral:tRNA from 2 species